AACGUAGGACGCAAGCGUUAUCCGGAGUUACUGGGCGUAAAGCGUGCGCAGGCGGUUUUGUAAGCCAGAUGUGAAAUCCCCGGGCUUAACCUGGGAAUGGCAUUUGGGACUGCAAGGCUCGAGUGCGGCAGAGGGGGGUGGAAUUCCACGUGUAGCAGUGAAAUGCGUAGAGAUGUGGAGGAACACCGAUGGCGAAGGCAGCCCCCUGGGUCGACACUGACGCUCAUGCACGAAAGCGUGGGGAGCAAACAGG
rnacentral:rRNA from 1 species